rnacentral:rRNA from 1 species
AGUGAACGCUGGCGGUAGGCCUAACACAUGCAAGUCGAACGGCAGCACAGUAAGAGCUUGCUCUUACGGGUGGCGAGUGGCGGACGGGUGAGGAAUACAUCGGAAUCUACUUUUUCGUGGGGGAUAACGUAGGGAAACUUACGCUAAUACCGCAUACGACCUACGGGUGAAAGCAUGGGAUCUUCGGACCUUGCGCGAUUGAAUGAGCCGAUGUCGGAUUAGCUAGUUGGCGGGGUAAAGGCCCACCAAGGCGACGAUCCGUAGCUGGUCUGAGAGGAUGAUCAGCCACACUGGAACUGAGACACGGUCCAGACUCCUAAGGGAGGCAGCAGUGGGGAAUAUUGGACAAUGGGCGCAAGCCUGAUCCAGCCAUACCGCGUGGGUGAAGAAGGCCUUCGGGUUGUAAAGCCCUUUUGUUGGGAAAGAAAAGCAGCAGGUUAAUACCCCGCUGUUCUGACGGUACCCAAAGAAUAAGCACCGGCUAACUUCGUG